rnacentral:rRNA from 1 species
UACGAGGGGGGCAAGCGUUGUUCGGAAUUAUUGGGCGUAAAGCGCGCGUAGGCGGUUACUCAAGUCGGAUGUGAAAGCCCUCGGCUUAACUGAGGAAGUGCACCCGAAACUGAGUAGCUAGAGUACUAAAGAGGGUCGCGGAAUUCCCGGUGUAGAGGUGAAAUUCGUAGAUAUCGGGAGGAACACCAGUGGCGAAGGCGGCGACCUGGACGGACAUUGACGCUGAGACGCGAAAGCGUGGGGAGCAAACAGG